rnacentral:rRNA from 1 species
ACUCAAAUGAAUUGACGGGGACCCGCACAAGCGGUGGAACAUGUGGUUUAAUUCGUAGCUAAGCGAAAAACCUCACCGAGGCUUGACAUCCUGGUCGUAUCCCUAAGAAACUAGGGAGUCAUUUAGUUGGACCAGUGACAGGUGUUGCAUGGCUGUCGUCAGCUCGUGUCGUGAGAUGUUGGGUUAAGUCCUUCAACGAGCGCAACCCUCAUUGUAUGUUAUUUUUUCAUACGAAACUGCCCUGGUUAACGGGGAGGAAGGUGGGGAUGACGUCAAGUCAGCAUGGCCCUUACGCCUCGGGCCACACACGUGUUACAAUGGCCGGAACAAUGAGUCGCAAUACCGCAAGGUGGAGCUAAUCUCCAAAUCCGGUCCCAGUUCGGAUUGCAGGCUGAAAUUCGCCUGCAUGAAGUCGGAAUCGCUAGUAAACGCAAAUCAGCACGUUGCGUUGAAUACGUUCCCGGGUCUUGUACACACCGCCCGU